UCCCACGUGGUCUAGUGGCUAGGAUACCUUAGCUCUCACCCAGGAGGCCCUGGUUCGAUUCCCGACAUGGGAC
rnacentral:tRNA from 1 species